rnacentral:lncRNA from 1 species
GGUAACGCGUAAUGUAGUGACUCAUGGGAGAAAUAUUAGGUCUCGGUCCUAUCUCGGUCCUAGCUUUGAAAGGACAAUGUGUUUUUGAUGCAUAAGAGGAAGUUUAGGAAGCAGCCCAGGAGGUCUGUUUUCCCGAAGGUUGGGCUGAUUGCCUUGGAAAGAAAUCAAACUCAGAAACAGACAAGCCAAGCCCACCGUAUUCUUGGAGACACCUUCAGGUUGUGAGUGAGGAAUGGAUGCCAUUGUUAGUGGCUUCCGUUGUGCUCAGUGGAAACACGCAUCUACAGGUAGAAUGUAGAGGAACAGCCCAAUUCAGCUGUCUUGUGGAUUUCAGGCUGUGGUCUCUCUGCCUCUCUCUGGAACACAGGAGGAACUUUGCUACUGCCUUGACCAACAGAAUAUGGGGGAAGCGACAUUGUGUGAAUUACAAGGUACAUCUUCCAUAAAGACCGCGCCCUGAGCUCACCAUUCCUCUUUCUGAGAGAGCUGAGGCAGUUCUUCCUUCAGGGGAGCAACCAUUGUUCUAGGCUCAAAGCAAGUCUGAGAGAGACGCACACGUGUGGGAUUCUAGGACCUUGACCCUCCACCGCAAACAGAGGCACUCACCUCUGCAUUCUGGGAAACGGCAGUCUGUGUGUCAGCCAGAUAAACACUUAAGUUCAGGGGCAUCUGACAAACAGCUGUCCCCACCGACCUUGUUUUGUUGGUCCCAUUUUCACAACUGUUGAUGUGGCUUCCUGAGUUCCUGACCACUUGAAUAAACAACCAAGAGCAGCAGCCUCGACUCCCUGCAGGACCCUGCGCAGGCCGCGCUGGGCAGCUGUCCAUCAGCACCCCUGUGCACACAGAGAGCAGGCAGCAGACCAGCGCCCUGGACGGCUGGUACCGACGCCCUCCAUCUGUCCGUCUGUCCCCAGGGCUGGGUGGACAGGGAAAUCUCUUUACAGUGCAGACAGCGGAGCCUGGUGUUGAGACCAACUGACCUGAUCUUGAAAGGACUGCAUUCUCCUGCCACUGUCUGGCAGAUUCCAGCUUGGGGCCUGUUUUCUGGAGCUAGCUGUCACAUGAACCCCAGCCUGCUGGCUGGGAGAUCCAGCCAGGUCAGUUUUAUGGCCAAGAGAGCAACCAGUUACUAUCUCGAGCUGGAGAAAAUGGAUUAUCUUUAGUCCUUCUGUGCAAAACUAAAACCAAAAUGUUUCUGUUUUUGGUUUGGGAGUGAUGCAUCUGGGCAGAGGGGUGAGGUGUUAGACUCAGUCCAUGCCCCUCAUUUUGCAAGGCUGAAACUGAGGCCAAAGGGACUUGCUCAGGGUCACAGAGUUGCAGAAAAGCCCCCAGUCAAACUCAGCGGUCCUGAACCCCAGGCUGUCCUUUCAAUUCCCCAGCCUUUGUUCCAGGUUUCAUCCCCCACAGGGCUGCUUGUCCUCAUCAGUGCACAGUAAUCUGAGGCUCUGCAGGAGGGGGCCGCCUUCUCUUUCAUGCUGUGCUGUUGAGCGUAGACCGCAAAACGUGGAAUACCUUGCCCAGGGUUUCUGUCCAGCUUUGCUGUGUAUUUCAAUCUUUUGAGCUUCAGUUUCCAACUCUGGGGAGAAGGGCUAACAAGAGUUAUGAUAUAUGCAUCAGGAGCUUUAAAACAGUCAUAGCCUUUAACCCAGCGAUUGGACUUCUGGGAAAUUAUCCUGUAAAAGUGAAUGAAAAAGCUUUAUGCUCACAAUGUUCAUUGUGCACAUAAGAAAAAUGAAUCUCCAAAACAGUUUCAAACUCACAAACAGAGCAUGAUCCCAGCUGAGUUAAAAAAAAAAAAAAAAAAGGGAAGGAGGCCAGGCGCGGUGGCUCACGCCUGUCAUCCCAGUACUUAGGGAGGCUGAGGUGGGUGAGGUCAGGAGUUUGAGACCAGCCUGGCCAACACGGUGAAACCUCGUCUCUACUAAAAAUACAAAAAUUAGCCGGGCGUAGGGGCGGAUGCCUGUGAUCGCAGCUACUCAGGAGGCUGAGGCAGGAGAAUUGCUUGAACGGGGAGGCGGAGGUUGCAGUGAGCUGAGAUUGCGCCAUUGCACUCCAGCCUGGGCUAUAAGAGCAAGACUCUGUCUCAAAUUAAAAAGAAAAAAAAGAAAAAAGAAGGAAGUAAAUAAACAAUACCCAGGGUUGCUCAGGUGAUGGGUUUAUAAAUAAUAGUUUCUUUAUUCUUUUACUGUUUCAAAAUGUUUUACCGUGUAUCUACCAUCAUGCCUCACUUAACAAUGGGAAUAUGUUCUGAGAAAUGCAUGGUUAGGCAGUUUUAUUGUUGUGUGAACAUUGUAGAGUGUACGCAAACUUAGAUGGCGUAGCCUAUUACACGCCUAGGCUCUAUGGUGUAGCUUAUGGCUCUUAGUGUACAAACCUGUACAGCAUGUUACUGUACUGAAUGUGGUAGGCAACUGUAGCACAAUGGUAAGCAUUUGUGUCUCUAAAUAUAGAAAAGGUACAGUAAAAAUACAGUGUAAAAGAAAAUAAAAUGUAUACCUUGGCAAGGUAUAGAUUUUAAAAUGUGUACAUAGUAAGUGCCCUGAACCUAUAUACCUGUACAGCGCAUUUACCAUGAAUGGAGCUUGCAGGAUGGGAAGUUGCUCUGGGCAAGUCAGUGAGUGAGUGAGUGCGGAGUGGAUGAGAAGGCCUGGGAGUUGCUGUACAUGACUGUAGACUUUAUAAACACAAGACACUUUGGGUACACUACAUUUACUCAGAAAUUUUAUUUCUUCAAAAUAAAUUAACCUUAGCUUACUGUAACUUUUUUACUUCAUACAUUUUUAACUUUUUAAACUUUUUGACUCUUUUGUAUUAUAAUAACACUGAGCUUAAAAC